AAGUCGUAACAAGGUUUCCGUAGGUGAACCUGCGGUUGGAUUAUCACAAUACUUGUUAACCAACAUCAACCACUGUGAACCGUAACGUCCCUACUCAUUCUUGCUCGUCAAGAGUGCGGUAGACAAUACCCCCCCAAUCCUAGUAGUUACUACUUUGUCAUCCAGUUUUAUACUGGAUGAUGAUCUAGUGGCGAAGUAUUCACUCACACUAAUUUUAACCCUACAACUAACAACUUGUCUAAUCUUCAUAACCUUAUGCAACUCGCUCUUGAUUGAGUGUGGUUAACUAAGCUUUACGAAAUAUUGAACAACUCUUAGCAAUGGAUAUCUUGGGUCAU
rnacentral:misc_RNA from 1 species